GACGAACGCUGGCGGCGUGCUUAACACAUGCAAGUCGAACGGAAAGGCCCUGCUUGCAGGGUACUCGAGUGGCGAACGGGUGAGUAACACGUGGGUGAUCUGCCCUGCACUUCGGGAUAAGCCUGGGAAACUGGGUCUAAUACCGGAUAGGAGCCAUUUUUAGUGUGAUGGUUGGAAAGUUUUUUCGGUGUAGGAUGAGCUCGCGGCCUAUCAGCUUGUUGGUGGGGUAAUGGCCUACCAAGGCGGCGACGGGUAGCCGGCCUGAGAGGGUGGACGGCCACAUUGGGACUGAGAUACGGCCCAGACUCCUACGGGAGGCAGCAGUGGGGAAUAUUGCACAAUGGGCGCGAGCCUGAUGCAGCGACGCCGCGUGGGGGAUGACGGCCUUCGGGUUGUAAACUCCUUUCGCUAGGGACAAAGCUUUUUGUGACGGUACCUAGAUAAGAAGCACCGGCUAACUACGUG
rnacentral:rRNA from 1 species